GUUGGAAACAGUGGCUAAGACUGGAUAGGAAGAUAAAAGGCAUCUUUUAUCUUUUAAAAGACCUAGUAAUAGGUAUGCUUUAGGAGGGGCUUGCGCCAUAUUAGUUAGUUGGUAGGGUAAUGGCCUACCAAGACGAUGAUGUGUAGCUGGACUGAGAGGUUGAACAGCCACAUUGGGACUGAGACACGGCCCAAACUCCUACGGGAGGCAGCAGUAGGGAAUUUUCGGCAAUGGAGGAAACUCUGACCGAGCAACGCCGCGUGAAUGACGAAGUACUUCGGUAUGUAAAGUUCUUUUAUCAAGGAAGAAAAGCAAAUGGCGAACCAUUUGUUUGCCGGUACUUGAUGAAUAAGCCCCGGCUAAUUAUGUGCCAGCAGCCGCGGUAAGACAUAAGGGGCAAGUGUUAUCCGGAAUUAUUGGGCGUAAAGGGUGCGUAGGCGGUCUAGUAAGUCAGUGGUGUAAUGGCAACGCUUAACGUUGUCCGGCUAUUGAAACUGCUAAACUUGAGUUAGAUAGAGGCGAGUGGAAUUCCAUGUGUAGCGGUAAAAUGCGUAAAUAUAUGGAGGAACACCAGAGGCGUAGGCGGCUCGCUGGGUCUUAACUGACGCUGAGGCACGAAAGCGUGGGGAGCAAACAGGAUUAGAUACCCUGGUAGUCCACGCCGUAAACGAUGAGUACUAAGUGUCGGGUUAAACCGGUACUGAAGUUAACACAUUAAGUACUCCGCCUGAGUAGUACGUACGCAAGUAUGAAACUUAAAGGAAUUGACGGGACUCCGCACAAGCGGUGGAUCAUGUUGUUUAAUUCGAAGAUACCCGAAAAACCUUACCAGGUCUUGACAUGUUUUUGCAAAAUGAUAGUAAUAUCGUGGAGGUUACCAGAAACACAGGUGGUGCAUGGUUGUCGUCAGCUCGUGUCGUGAGAUGUUAGGUUAAGUCCUAAAACGAGCGAAACCCUUAUCGUUAGUUGCCAGCACGUUAUGGUGGGGACUUUAACGAGACUGCCAAUGAUAAAUUGGAGGAAGGUGAGGAUCACGUCAAAUCAGCAUGCCCCUUAUGACCUGGGCUACAAACGUGAUACAAUGGCUGUUACAAAGGGUAGCUGAAACGCAAGUUCUUGGCCAAUCCCCAAAAACAGUCCCAGUCCGGAUUGAAGUCUGCAACUCGACUUCAUGAAGUUGGAAUCGCUAGUAAUCGCGAAUCAGCAUGUCGCGGUGAAUACGUUCUCGGGGUUUGUACACACCGCCCGUCAAACCACGAAAGU
rnacentral:rRNA from 1 species